rnacentral:rRNA from 1 species
CGGGUGAGUAACACGUGAGUAACCUGCCCUUCACUCUGGGGAUAACGUCGGGAAACCGGUGCUAAUACUGGAUAUGACCUACUCGGGCAUCCGAUGUGGGUGGAAAGAUUUAUUGGUGGGGGAUGGACUCGCGGCCUAUCAGCUUGUUGGUGAGGUAAUGGCUUACCAAGGCGACGACGGGUAGCCGGCCUGAGAGGGCGAUCGGCCACACUGGGACUGAGACACGGCCCAG